rnacentral:rRNA from 1 species
AGAACGAACGCUGGCGGCGUGGAUAAGACAUGCAAGUCGAACGCUGACAUUUAGGUAGCAAUAUUUGAAUGUCGGAGUGGCGCAAGGGUGCGUAACACGUGGGUAAUUUGCCGUGAAGUUUGGGAUAACUUGCUGAAAGGCGAGCUAAUACCGGAUGUGAAUUGUUGAAGGCAUCUUCGAAAAUUCAAAGUUGGGGACCGCAAGGCCUGACGCUUUACGAUAAGCCCGCGGCCUAUCAGCUAGUUGGUGAGGUAACGGCUCACCAAGGCGACGACGGGUA